UUUCCGUAGGUGAACCUGCGGAAGGAUCAUUAUUGUAUAGCCGAGGUGCGAGGGCUGUCGCUGACCCGAAAGGUCGUGCACGCCCGAGUGCCCUCACACACAUCCAUCUCACCCCUAUGUGCACCACCGCGUGGGUCCCCCUUUGGCUUGUUCGGAGGGGGGCUUACGUUUUCACACAAACUUUGUAUGCAGUGUAGAAUGUAUUUUUUGUUUUUGCGAUCACGCAAUCAAUACAACUUUCAACAACGGAUCUCUUGGCUCUCGCAUCGAUGAAGAACGAGC
rnacentral:misc_RNA from 1 species